UGUAGCGUUUAGCCAGACCCGGCACGCACCCGUCGGUCAGGCAGCGCGGCAGGUGUGUUUGAUUUGGGACACUGGCCCUGCUCGCCGGGUGGGGACAUCAUAUCCGUGAUUAAUAAGGGAGAUGCAGCCUUUUUUUAAAUCUAUGCUGAGGUCAUGCUAAUCUGAAUUUUAUUGCCUAGUUAGACCUGGUCCAGGUGUGAACGCAGCUGAUCGGGCUCUUUUCAUUUGUUUCCGUUAAUCAGAACUUCAUCACGUGACCACCUCCGCCCCUGCUCGUUGCCGACACUGCCCUGGUCUGUUUCCACGGUGUUUCUAGUAGCUCACAGUUGGUUUGUUGAAAAAUGACUCGACUUGAACAGGCCCUUAAAGACUUACACAUGACUUUGUGAGCCCUGUUUAGAGUUUUCAGCUCCUCCCCAGUCCUGGAGACCUUUAGUAUUAAAAAAUAAAAGCCUCGCUAACAUGUUUUAUCUCAGGCAGUUGAUGCCUCUCAGCUGUUUUUCCGCUCUGAUCAAACUGGCAAAGUUUUUAAAAUCACUUCUUUUUCAUCCUAAAAGCCGCUGAGUCGAAUUUACAGCAGCAGCACAAACAUCAAACACUGACACACACACACACACAGAUGCUCCAUACAGUCUACUGUCAGCACAGACUGACAGGAAACAUACAAACAGCUCACGCUCUGCAGCUCAAAGUGAAAACUCUGAUGUCGCAGUGGCCUUGAACGCACCAACAAGGACAGAUUGCGAUAACGCUUGUGUGUGUGGAUGUGUGUGUGUAUGACAGCGUCCCCACAAGAACGGAAACCUCUCCAUAGAGUCCAUCGAGUAGACAAAUGGGACGCUCGGGCUGACGGUCGUCUCCGCCCACAGAGGCUGCAGCGGUGUCGGCGUGGGAGGACUGAGGAGUCAGACUGGUCUGACAGUUCCUGCCUGCGGCAUUUAAAACUGAUCCACUGUCCACAUCUGCUCCACUCCACCUGUUUUUAGCGCCAGUGAAGAAGUUUUUAGCUUCUUCCGUCUGCUGCACAAGCUCCUGUUUUCUGUGGAUUCCUGUGUGUCUGAGUGCGUUUGUAGAGUCAAGACUCCAUGAACAGUGUCAUCACGUUGGGCUAACCCAGGCCCAGGUGGACUUAGUUCCCUUUGGACAGGCUAGCUGUUUCCCCCUGCUUCCAGUCUUUGUGCUAAGCUAAGCUAAGCCAAGCUAACCGGCCGCUGCAGCUUCGUAUUUACUGCGCAGACAUGAGCGUGGUGUCAGUCUGAACGUCUGGCUUUAGGCAAAAGAGUUUAAGCAGAUUUUCCAAAGUGUUGAACUGUUCCUUUAAGGUAAUGGGCCAGGGAAUGGAUUGUGUUUCUCAGGCCUGUCGCAAGUAAA